UACAGAGCCUGCAAGCGUUAUUCGGAUUCACUGGGCGUAAAGGGUGCGCAGGCGGCCAAGUGUGUUAGGCGUGAAAGCCCGGGGCUUAACCCCGGAAUUGCACCUAAAACUACAUGGCUAGAGCAUUGGAGAGGGUAGCGGAAUUCACGGUGUAGCAGUGAAAUGCGUAGAUAUCGUGAGGAACACCAGAGGCGAAGGCGGCUACCUGGACAAUUGCUGACGCUCAGGCACGA
rnacentral:rRNA from 1 species